rnacentral:rRNA from 1 species
GACGAACGCUGGCGGCGUGCUUAACACAUGCAAGUCGAACGGAAAGGCCUGCUUUCCCUUGUGGAUUGCGGGUACUCGAGUGGCGAACGGGUGAGUAACACGUGAGUGAUCUGCCCCCAACUUGGGUAUAAGCCUGGGAAACUGGGUCUAAUUCCCGAUAGGACUGCAGGGUGGUGCCUGUGGUGGAAAACGAUUUUCUAGUGGUUGGGGAUGAGCUCGCGGCCUAUCAGCUUGUUGGUGGGGUAAUGGCCUACCAAGGCGGCGACGGGUAGCCGGCCUGAGAGGGAGGACGGCCACAUUGGGACUGAGAUACGGCCCAGACUCCUACGGGAGGCAGCAGUGGGGAAUAUUGCACAAUGGGCGGAAGCCUGAUGCAGCGACGCCGCGUGGGGGAUGACGGCCUUCGGGUUGUAAACUCCUUUCGACCGCGAGGAAGCCACCUGGUUGGAAGGGUGGUGACGGUAGUGGUAGAAGAAGCACCGGCUAACUACGUG